ensembl:lncRNA
AUAUAUAUAAUUAUAUUAUUCUACGUUUAUUUCAAUCAAAUUAUGUUAAUUUAUUCAUUUCUACUGUAAAUUAAACUAAAACUAAAAUGUAGUUAUUAUAUUGACAAGCUCAUAUAUACAAUGUAUAAUAAACGAAUAUAUAAAUUUGGAGGAUGUCUUCCAUCACCAGCCGGCAUUCACCCCGGUUUGGUCCUGGGCCGCCUACCUCUCCACCACGGGGACUUUGGCCUUGCUCUUGAUGGCCAGGUACUUCUCCCUGCAGCCCCCACACAGCAGGUAGUACGGGUUCCCGCUGCCGCACUCCCCCCCGAACCAGCCGUCCACGUAGGAGCCGUUGCUGCGGUAACCCUGCCGGUUGGCGCUGCGGCCGCAGCCCGGGUGGCUCUUCUUCAUGUGCUGGUUGAAGUUGGCCACGUUGGCCUCGCACAGCUCGCACACCACCACCUCGUCCCGGUCGUCCGUCUCGCACACGUGCUGCGUGGAGGUACGGCGGCAGAGAGGGUGACACACAUGAAGACAAAAGUACACACACGGGACAGAGUGGACGAGGACAGUGGGGACGCGUCCCAACAUGAAUCGCAGAGAGCUGCGCGGCGUCUCAAGCGACAGGCGACGCAUCGUUCCGUUUUUAGUCGUUCGUUCCAACGAGAGCCGAGCCGAGAAGAAGAGUCGACCCCCUGAACCGCCGUGGUAAUCGUUCAAUGGUUGAUCGUUAGGGGCGGAUGCUCACGUCGGAUAAAGCAGCCAAAAUAAAGGUUACAAUUGAAUUUCCUUCAACAUUUUGUUCUCAUUUAAAUCUGAAAAUCGCAUAUUGUUAAAUAGUGCAAUGUUUGAGAUGUUCAGAGGGUCGGCCCUGAGGAGUGAUGCAGCGCAGGCAGAGAGCGGCCCCUCUGGACAGAGCUUAAAGUCACACACACCCAUGUUGGCCAGUCCAGUACCUCCGGGAUCCACAUUCCCAGAAUGUCGGUGUCGCUGGCCAGGUCCUGGCCGAACAUGGCCUCCAUGGUCUCCUCGUCCAGGUUGAAGUCGUAGAGGGCGCCCGGGUCCUGCUGCUGCUGCUGCUGCUGCUGCUGCUGCUGCAGGGACGCCACCUCCCGCCUCGACUGGCUGUGGUGGGCCUGCACCGAGCGGUACAGCCCGGC